UACGUAGGGGGCAAGCGUUGUCCGGAUUUAUUGGGCGUAAAGAGCGUGUAGGCGGCUUCACAGGUCUGCUGUGAAAACUCGAGGCUCAACCUCGAGACGCCGAUGGAAACCAUCAGACUAGAGUCCGGAAGAGGAGAGUGGAAUUCCUGGUGUAGCGGUGAAAUGCGCAGAUAUCAGGAAGAACACCCGUGGCUAAGGCGGCUCUCUAGUACGGUACUGACGCUGAGACGCGAAAGCGUGGGGAGCGAACAGG
rnacentral:rRNA from 1 species